GUAUGUUCACAUGAAACUUAUCACACUGUGUUUUCAUCCUUGAUCUGAGUACUGGGGAUGCAUUCCCGCAGAGAGACAUCUGGUCAACUCUCACCAUUUCUGCUCUCUGUCCAAGGUCUCUGUCUGUGAGGCCGCCCUGAUCCCUCUAACAGUCAAUAUUCCACAUUUAUGAGAGCACAUUUUAACUCCGACUUCUGCUUUUGGGGUUGGCUAUGAGCUAAACCCUUGAGUAACUGUAACAUUCCCUCGCUCUCUCUGCAGACAAACAUGGUGCCAGUCCCCUGUGUUUAUUUUUAUGACCAUAUUUGCUUAUGCUAGGCACUGCCUACAAUGCCUGGGAUGCAGCAACUACGUAUCCAAGCCUUAGGAUUUAAAAUCUAUCAACCACUUGAAUAUCUCUGAACCUUCUAGUUUUCACCGGUAUGUUUUCCAUAUUUCUGUGGCUCGUUGUGAAUUACCAGUUUGCAUGUAUGUGUGCGUGCUGUGGCCCACAGAUAGAGGCUAUGUGUUUUUAAAGCAGAGACCAUGACUCUUUUUUUUUCAGUCAUGCUCUCCCUGGUGUGGAGCCCAGUGCUUUGCAGCUAGUAAGGAUUCAACACCACCGCUACCAUGACCCAGAGACUGGAUGAAUGCCUGUCAGUAAAGCAGCCAAGCCAAAAUCUUGGCUUCCCAGACUCAUCUGGCCAAAGAAGUUGGCCUCUUCUACCACUAACAGAAUUAUUCCCAUGUGAGGCAAGCUCACCAUUUUCCUUUGAUCUUUGCGCAUCAGGAAGCUUGUCAGAUAAAAUGUCCUAAUAGAUUCAAUCACGUGAAGUGACUCCCAGCUAUGGCGGCGAGCAGACGCGAUCAGUACUCAAAAGCUAUGCCCAACCCCGUUCUCCCUGGUCUAGUCCACAAGAGAGGCUGGAAAGCUAAAAUAGUUUAUUUCUUCAAGCCUCCUUCCCACUUCUUUUGGCAGUGGGUACCCCAGGAUUUAUUUCUGGCCAAUUCAUGUAAACAAAGUCUCUGGGGAAGUUUUCCAUCUCUGAAACAAAAAGCAAAAGCUCACUAGGAAAAAUCUCCUCCCACUUUGCCCUUCCUUUUCUUCUUGCCUGGAAUGCAGAUGAAAAGUAUGGAUGCAUAGCAGCCACCAAGAGACAUGAGAUGGCAAGCAUAAGGACAAAAGCCUAUCACACAGAAUGGUAGAGGAGACCCAAGGAAAGAGGUUAGUUGCUUAAGCCAUCCCUAUGCCUCUGUGCUGUCUGUGGAUUAAAUCCUCCAGAUCUCUAGUUGUAUAUAUUUGAACCACUGGUAUCUUUCGUUUGCUAGCUCGAUACAAAGCUGACUGAUACAAUAACCUGCAGGACCAUUAUUGAGCUCUUUGCAGAUACCUGUAUUCAAGCGAGAUCAUAGUUAACUUCUCAAGACGAAGGAAAACGAAUCUACUCUUUUAUAAUGUAUAUUGAUGGUGGGCGUAUUCAUAAUCUACCUUGAAAAUACUGUUAUGUUACGAUGACUUUGCUCUUGGAAUAUUUUAUGCCCUUGACCCUUGGGUCUGGUCUAGAUAAAAUCUGUCCGCAUCCUCUCUGUCACAGCCUCUGCACAGUCAAAGGCUGUUCUUACUCUAUCUUGUAAAAUCAGUGCGCGCUCCUGUGCGCGGGCCCUGCAGGGCCGGCCCUCCCGCAGCUUCGCUGACUCGGCUUCCUCCUGGCUCCCCCACCCGUGCACCGAACUCGACUUCUUUGGCAUAUUUUGAUGUCAACACAUGUCCAUCAAAAUUAUAAUAAACAGCAAAACAUAGUCCCCUACAGAAUAUGAUAUUCAAAUGGUUAUUAAGCUGUUAUAAAAGGCAGCAGGAAUGAUCCAAAGCUGCCCCCCUACCCCCGUACUGGCUCCAAACCCAUUCAGAUUCAAGCUAACUCUCCAAAUUGGAAGACCUGGAUUUUUUUCAGGCCUUAACAGGACAAGAGAGCGUUUUUCUUCCUCUUCUCAGCUGCGUGGAUACGAGUCUAUCACGAAGCCAAAAGCCAUCUCUUCCUGAGUACCUGUGAAGGAGGCCGUUCACAGAUGAGGAAACUGAGGCACACAGAGGUGAAGCAACUCUCCUAAAAGAUACAGGACGGGGCGGAGCUGCGAUUUAAAUUGAGGAAGUCUAGGUAUUAAAGUCCACAUCUAGCCAACCACAAAACUACUCUGUGGCCGAUGCGACCCCGCAAGGCCCCCAGGUUAUGUUCAUAGCAGCACUAUUUACAAUGGCCAAGAAAUGAAAGUAACCUGAAUGUCCAUCGACAGAUGACUGGAUAAAGAAGAUGUGGUAUAUCUAUGCAAUGGAAAACUACUCAGCCAUAAAAAAUGAAAUAAUGCCAUUUGCAGCAGCAUGGAUGGACUUAGAGAUGAUCACACUAAGUGAAGUCAGUUGUGCACUGGUCCAUAUUAAUCUGCCUCUGAGUUUCUAACCUUAAGAAAAUACAAUCUCACCUCUCCAAAUGUGUAUAUUUUACUUGAAAUAACUUGGUCCUUUAUUUUCA